AUUGAACGCUGGCGGCAGGCCUAACACAUGCAAGUCGAACGAGUGGCGGACGGGUGAGUAAUGUCUGGGAAACUGCCUGAUGGCGGGGGAUAACUACUGGAAACGGUAGCUAAUACCGCAUACCAUCAGAUGUGCCCAGAUGGGAUUAGCUGGUAGGUGGGGUAACGGCUCACCUAGUCGACGAUCCCUAGCUGUUCUGAGAGGAUGACCAGCCACACUGGAACUGAGACAAGGGCCAGACUCCUACGGUAGGCAGCAGUGGGGAAUAUUGCACAAUGGGCGCAAGCCUGAUGCAGCCAUGCCGCGUGUGUGAAGAAGGCCUUAGGGUUGGAAAGCACUUUCAGCGGGGAGGCGUUACCCGCAGAAGAAGCACCGGCUAACUCCGGGCCAGCCGCCGCGGUAAUAC
rnacentral:rRNA from 1 species